GACGAACGCUGGCGGCGUGCUUAACACAUGCAAGUCGAACGGAAAGGCCCUGCUUUUGUGGGGUGCUCGAGUGGCGAACGGGUGAGUAACACGUGAGUAACCUGCCCUUGACUUUGGGAUAACUUCAGGAAACUGGGGCUAAUACCGGAUAGGAGCUCCUGCUGCAUGGUGGGGGUUGGAAAGUUUCGGCGGUUGGGGAUGGACUCGCGGCUUACUAGCUUGUUGGUGGGGUAGUGGCUUACCAAGGCUUUGACGGGUAGCCGGCCUGAGAGGGUGAACGGCGACAAUGGGACUGAGAUACGGCCCAGACUCCUACGGUAGGCAGCAGUGGGGAAUAUGGCACAAUGGGCGGAAGCCUGAUGCAGCAACGCCGCGUGCGGGAUGACGGCCUACGGGUGGUAAACCGCUUUCGCCUGUGACGAAGCGUGAGUGACGGUAAUGGGUAAAGAAGCACCGGCUAACUACGUG
rnacentral:rRNA from 1 species